UCACCAAAAGCAUCAGGACAGAGUUACAGCAUCACUAACAUCACAUCUGAGGACAGUGGAGAAUAUUACUGUGAGGCUCAGAAUAAAUACGGACGUCUAAACUCAUCUACUUUGUCUGUGGAUGUUCAAUAUGUUGACGAGUGUACGGCUCAUUCUCAAAUCUGUGGGGAAAAUUCAACUUGCCUCAACACCAAUGGCAGCUACUCCUGUCACUGUCUUCCUGGGUUCAAAAGUAACAGGAUUGGACUGUGUGUUGACAUAAACGAGUGUGUGGAGGAGAAACGUUACUGUGGAAACGAAGGGCUUUGUCACAACCUGAUUGGCAGCUACUGGUGUCAAUGCUCAUCUGGAUCGACCAACUAUGGCCACAAAGGAACUAAAUGUGUCGAGCUCAGUUGUGACCCGCAAGAAGCGCAGCCUGGAAAGACUCUUCCAGGCCUUGGCAGUCUCAUGUCUCUGGUGAGAGAAAACUGUUUGUGGUUGAGGAACUCUUCA